UAAUUUAGGUCCCUAUUAUGAGUUGCAUUCGAUCUUCGCUAUUCGCUGGCUAUCGAAAAUCGAAUGUAAAAUUCGUAUUAUGAGCUAUGCAACCCUGUCGAAAUUUUCGUUGAGCAUCGAAAUGGUUGUCGAACAGAAUUUACCUGUCGACAGCGUAGCGUAGUGAAUGGAAAUUUGUGAAAAUGUCGAAAGUCGUGAGCACCAAACAGCAAUUGGAAAACUACCAGUAAUGGAAGAAAAUCCACAAUUUGCAAGAGGGAUUUGCACCAAAGUUCAGGCGGCAACAAAAUGGGAGGGAUUUGCUUUGGAGCUAAACUGUUUGGGUCCACCAACUAGACCAGCGCCAAAGUGGACGAAGGUUCAUAAAGUUGUUCUGUGUUUUUUGUGGAAAUACAUUUUUAUUUGGACAUUGUAAUUUUAGUAUAUUGGGAAUAGAUUUCGCUCGUGUGCAUCGCUGCAGCAUCUCCUCUGUAGCGGACAGCAAAUCAACAAACGCCCUCUUUCGACAAACGGAAGUUUUUUAUAAAUCUACAAAUAAAAUUUCCUAAAUGUUGAA